rnacentral:rRNA from 1 species
UACAGAGGGGGCAAGCGUUGUUCGGAAUUACUGGGCGUAAAGGGCGCGUAGGCGGCCUUCUAAGUCGAACGUGAAAUCCCCGGGCUCAACCCGGGAACUGCGUCCGAUACUGGAAGGCUUGAAUCCGGGAGAGGGAUGCGGAAUUCCGAGGUGGUAGCGGUGAAAUGCGGUAGAGUAUCUGGAAGGAACACCGGUGGCGAAGGCGGCAGUCCAUGGACCGGU